rnacentral:rRNA from 1 species
AGCAGUCGCCGCGGGAAUACGGAGGAUCCAAGCGUUAUCCGGAAUCAUUGGGUUUAAAGGGUCCGUAGGCGGUCUUGUAAGUCAGUGGUGAAAGCCCAUCGCUCAACGGUGGAACGGCCAUUGAUACUGCAGGACUUGAAUUAUUGGGAAGUAACUAGAAUAUGUAGUGUAGCGGUGAAAUGCUUAGAGAUUACAUGGAAUACCAAUUGCGAAGGCAGGUUACUACCAAUUGAUUGACGCUGAUGGACGAAAGCGUGGGUAGCGAACAGGAUUAGAUACCCGCGUAGUCCCUGUCUCUUAUAC